AUCAUUAUCAUUAUCAUCCCUAUUAUACUGUACUUAAAGCCUCGCUAUGCACUAAAUAACAAACCACGAAAACUGUACAUAAUAACUUCUGCAAUAUGGUGCAACAGCCCCUUGCAACAAACUUCGAAACGUGCAAAAAACAGGUGAUGCAGAGGAGGCUUCCGUAGGCCUAGGAAAAUGAGGCCUAAGCAUGGACUUCCUUCUGGUGAAACUGCCAUUUGAACCACGGCCACGCCUUGGGAGAACCGGAGCCUAUGAACCGGAGAGUAGAACCGCAGGAAGUGGCAGAAGGUUCUGGGAAUUCCCCGCCUCCCUCGCGGCGCCAGCAGAACCGCUUUUGAGAGAAAACCCGAACCGAUUUGUGGAACCAAGGAUUUUAGACCAACCAGAGCUGGGUCAUAUAUAUCAACCAGAUUUUGUGGAACCAUGGUUUAUGGACCAACUAGAACCGAUUUGUGAAGCCAGGUUUAUAUGUCAACCAGAACCGGUUUUGUGGAACCAGGGUUUAUGGACCAACUAGAACCGAUUUGUGGAACCAAUGACUAUAGACUAACUAGAACUGACUGCAUGGAACCAGGGUUUAGUUCUCAACCGGAACCGAUUUUGUGGAACCAGGAUCAAUGGAGGACUAGAACUGAUUUCAUGGAACCAAAGAGAUAGCGGUUCAACAAGAAUUACGAGCCAACCAGAACCGAUUUUAUGGACCCAUAUUUUUAAGUCGAAGAGAACCGAUCUCGAGGCGCUCAAGAACCCUCUUUACACCAAGGGAACCAUGCUUAGAGAACCGCUGGGUAUGGAACCAGGCUUGAGAGAACAAGCAAGAACCAAAAUGAAAUCCGAUUUUCUAAAAUUGGUUGGAAUUCGUGUCCUGCAGUUUG